GGGGGUUAAGCAACAAGGGCGACGACGGGUAGCCGGCCUGAGAGGGCGACCGGCCACACUGGGACUGAGACACGGCCCAGACUCCUACGGGAGGCAGCAGUGGGGAAUAUUGCACAAUGGGCGAAAGCCUGAUGCAGCGACGCCGCGUGAGGGAUGACGGCCUUCGGGUUGUAAACCUCUUUCAGCAGGGAAGAAGCGCAAGUGACGGUACCUGCAGAAGAAGCGCCGGCUAACUACGUGCCAGCAGCCGCGGUAAUACGUAGGGCGCAAGCGUUGUCCGGAAUUAUUGGGCGUAAAGAGCUCGUAGGCGGCUUGUCACGUCGGAUGUGAAAGCCCGGGGCUUAACCCCGGGUCUGCAUUCGAUACGGGCUAGCUAGAGUGUGGUAGGGGAGAUCGGAAUUCCUGGUGUAGCGGUGAAAUGCGCAGAUAUCAGGAGGAACACCGGUGGCGAAGGCGGAUCUCUGGGCCAUUACUGACGCUGAGGAGCGAAAGCGUGGGGAGCGAACAGGAUUAGAUACCCUGGUAGUCCACGCCGUAAACGUUGGGAACUAGGUGUUGGCGACAUUCCACGUCGUCGGUGCCGCAGCUAACGCAUUAAGUUCCCCGCGG
rnacentral:rRNA from 1 species